rnacentral:tRNA from 1 species
GUAGACGUUAGCUCAGUGGUUAGAGCACAGGCCUCUGGCUCUGGGGUCCGCGAGUUCGAGUCCCGUCGUCUACU